CCGAGGUGGUGAAAUUGGUAAACGCACCAGACUCAAAAUCUGGCGGGAGCAAUCCCGUGGGGGUUCGAUUCCCCCUAAUGAG
rnacentral:tRNA from 1 species